GUACCGAUGAAGAGUCCCAAAACAGGACUAAACGGUUGUCCAGUAC
rnacentral:hammerhead_ribozyme from 1 species